UACGUAGGGUGCGAGCGUGUCCGGAAUUAUUGGGCGUAAAGAGCUUGUAGGCGGUUUGUCGCGUCUGCUGUGAAAAUCCGGGGCUCAACCCCGGACUUGCAGUGGGUACGGGCAGACUAGAGUGUGGUAAGGGAGACUGGAAUUCCUGGUGUAGCGGUGGAAUGCGCAGAUAUCAGGAGGAACACCGAUGCGAAGGCAGGUCUCUGGGCCACUACUGACGCUGAGAAGCGAAAGCAUGGGGAGCGAACAGG
rnacentral:rRNA from 1 species